AUUGAACGCUGGCGGCAUGCCUUACACAUGCAAGUCGAACGGCAGCACGGGUGCUUGCUCGUGGUGGCGAGUGGCGAACGGGAGAGGAAUACAUCGGAACAUGUCCUGUAGUGGGGGAUAGCGCGGCGAAAGCCGGAUUAAUACCGCAUACGAUCUUCGGAUGACAGUGGGGGACCUGCUGGCCUCGCGCUAUAGGGUCGGCCGGUGGCGGAUUAGCUAGUUGGUGGGGUAAAGGCCUACCAAGGCGACGAUCAGUCGGUGGUGUGAGAGGACGACCAGCCACACUGGGAGGGAGACACGGCCCAGACUCCUACGGGAGGCAGCAGUGGGGAAUUUUGGACAAUGGGCGGAAGCCUGAUCCAGCAAUGCCGCGUGUGUGAAGAAGGCCUUCGGGUUGUAAAGCACUUUUGUCCGGAAAGAAAUCCUUGGCCCUAAUACGGGCGGGGGAUGACGGUACCGGAAGAAUAAGCACCGGCUAACUACGUG
rnacentral:rRNA from 1 species